GGGAAGAAGGCCUUCGGGUCGUAAACCACUUUUGCACGGGACGAAAAGGGAUAUCGAACAAAUAUCCCCGAUGACGGUACCGUGAGAAUAAGCCACGGCUAACUCUGUGCCAGCAGCCGCGGUAAGACAGAGGUGGCAAGCGUUGUUCGGAAUUACUGGGCGUAAAGAGUCUGUAGGUGGUUUGUCAAGUCUUUGGUGAAAGGCCGUAGCUUAACUAUGGGAAUGCCAAAGAGACUGGCAGGCUGGAGGCUGGGAGAGGGAAGCGGAAUUUCUGGUGUAGCGGUGAAAUGCGUAGAUAUCAGAAGGAAGGCCGGUGGCGAAGGCGGCUUCCUGGAACAGUCCUGACACUGAGAGACGAAAGCGUGGGGAGCAAACAGGAUUAGAUACCCUGGUAGUCCACGCCCUAAACGAUGGGUACUAAGUGUGGAGGGGUUAAACCCUCCGUAGCCGCAGCAAACGCAG
rnacentral:rRNA from 1 species